rnacentral:rRNA from 1 species
GACGAACGCUGGCGGCGUGCUUAACACAUGCAAGUCGAACGGAAAGGCCCUGCUUUUGUGGGGUGCUCGAGUGGCGAACGGGUGAGUAACACGUGAGUAACCUGCCCUUGACUUUGGGAUAACUUCAGGAAACUGGGGCUAAUAUCGGAUAGGAGCUCCUGUUGCAUGGUGGGGGUUGGAAAGUUUCGGCGGUUGGGGAUGGACUCGCGGCUUAUCAGCUUGUUGGUGGGGUAGUGGCUUACCAAGGCUUUGACGGGUAGCCGGCCUGAGAGGGUGACCGGCCACAUUGGGACUGAGAUACGGCCCAGACUCCUACGGGAGGCAGCAGUGGGGAAUAUUGCACAAUGGGCGGAAGCCUGAUGCAGCAACGCCGCGUGCGGGAUGACGGCCUUCGGGUUGUAAACCGCUUUCGCCUGUGACGAAGCGUGAGUGACGGUAAUGGGUAAAGAAGCACCGGCUAACUACGUG